rnacentral:rRNA from 1 species
UACGUAGGUCCCGAGCGUUAUCCGGAUUUAUUGGGCGUGAAGCGAGCGCAGGCGGUUGGAUAAGUCUGAAGUUAAAGGCUGUGGCUCAACCAUAGUAUGCUUUGGAAACUGUUCAACUUGAGUGCAGAAGGGGAGAGUGGAAUUCCAUGUGUAGCGGUGGAAUGCGUAGAUAUAUGGAGGAACACCGGUGGCGAAAGCGGCUCUCUGGUCUGUAACUGACGCUGAGGCUCGAAAGCGUGGGUAGCGAACAGG